CCCGUUCCUCUUUCAAACCGGCCUCCAAGAUGGUAGGUGCUACCUCGAAUCCCUGCGCACUGAAAAGCAGCUGAAUCUACGCCCAUCCGUGUUCACCCGUCCACCGACCUGUCACCCGGUGUCGGUUUACGGUGCAGCCCGCUCCCCCGGUGCUUUACCGGCUGCUAUUCCGCGUGAUUUCAUAUCAUUUUGGGGUCUUGGCUCACGUCGGCCCUCCGCUACACGUCCUCUCUGCUGGCCUCCUUUAAUCAAUGUGACGGCGGCGUGGAAAGCAAACGUUCCCGUUAACAACACGCUAAACGUUCAUUGUGUUGGACGUUAUGGAAGUUAACGGUCUGCCGCCCACCAAGACGAGGAAGCUCCGAGGACACGUCAGCCACGCACGUGGUCGCGUUGGCAAACACAGAAAGCAUCCUGGAGGUCGUGGUGCUGCAUGACGUCAUGGCGAUCUGCACGUGCACGUUUGAAUUUACGAACUCAUGAAGCCAUCCUGGGUCCUUCGUAAAGUGGGGAGGAGACAUCACCAUCUGAAGAGGAACAUCACCGUCAACCUGGACAAGCUGUGGAUGGACCGGGCUCGACUACGGCAAGAAGCCCGGCGGACCCGCACCCAUCAUGGAUGCUGAGCGCUGGCUCCAGCUAAGGCGAGAGCAGCCUGUGGUCAUCAAGGUGGAGGAGGAGCCUGUGGUCAAGGAGGAGGAGCCUGUGUGUCAUAAUGUUAUAGAAAGGGUUCAUAGAAAGCCCUCGAUGUCAUAAGGACAGAACUAAACCCUCACGGAGUUCUCUGGACCUCAAGGUCCGUAAGAGUGGAGCCGGGAUUGAAACCCGCCGUUCUAUAACAUCACUGAACUCUGUACGACGUCGGCUUCGUGGUAGAAGGCAUGAACGUUGUUUUUAAAAAGCAAAAAAUUUAAUCUGGAAAACACAAUUGCUGUCAGAAAACAGUCGUAAUAUAUAUUUAAUAUAAAUGCACCAACGCGACUAGACUUGCAGUUGUUUCUGCUUCUGUUUUCUUGUUUCCUCGUUCCCUAUUUUGACAUUUUGUUUGUUCAAAUAUGUUUAAAUAAAUGUGUACAAUUAAA